AUUGAACGCUGGCGGCAGGCUUAACACAUGCAAGUCGAGCGGAGAUGAGGUGCUUGCACCUUAUCUUAGCGGCGGACGGGUGAGUAAUGCUUAGGAAUCUGCCUAUUAGUGGGGGACAACAUUCCGAAAGGAAUGCUAAUACCGCAUACGUCCUACGGGAGAAAGCAGGGGAUCUUCGGACCUUGCGCUAAUAGAUGAGCCUCAGUCGGAUUAGCUAGUUGGUGGGGUAAAGGCCUACCAAGGCGACGAUCUGUAGCGGGUCUGAGAGGAUGAUCCGCCACACUGGGACUGAGACACGGCCCAGACUCCUACGGGAGGCAGCAGUGGGGAAUAUUGGACAAUGGGGGGAACCCUGAUCCAGCCAUGCCGCGUGUGUGAAGAAGGCCUUAUGGUUGUAAGGCACUUUAAGCGAGGAGGAGGCUACUGAGACUAAUACUCUUGGAUAGUGGACGUUACUCGCAGAAUAAGCACCGGCUAACUCUGUGCCAGCCGCCGCGGUAAAAC
rnacentral:rRNA from 1 species